UGCUAUACAUGCAAGUCGUACGCUUCUUUUUCCACCGGAGCUUGCUCCACCGGAAAAAGAAGAGUGGCGAACGGGUGAGUAACACGUGGGUAACCUGCCCAUCAGAAGGGGAUAACACUUGGAAACAGGUGCUAAUACCGUAUAACAAUCGAAACCGCAUGGUUUUGAUUUGAAAGGCGCUUUCGGGUGUCGCUGAUGGAUGGACCCGCGGUGCAUUAGCUAGUUGGUGAGGUAACGGCUCACCAAGGCCACGAUGCAUAGCCGACCUGAGAGGGUGAUCGGCCACAUUGGGACUGAGACACGGCCCAAACUCCUACGGGAGGCAGCAGUAGGGAAUCUUCGGCAAUGGACGAAAGUCUGACCGAGCAACGCCGCGUGAGUGAAGAAGGUUUUCGGAUCGUAAAACUCUGUUGUUAGAGAAGAACAAGGAUGAGAGUAACUGUUCAUCCCUUGACGGUAUCUAACCAGAAAGCCACGGCUAACUACGUGCCAGCAGCCGCGGUAAUACGUAGGUGGCAAGCGUUGUCCGGAUUUAUUGGGCGUAAAGCGAGCGCAGGCGGUUUCUUAAGUCUGAUGUGAAAGCCCCCGGCUCAACCGGGGAGGGUCAUUGGAAACUGGGAGACUUGAGUGCAGAAGAGGAGAGUGGAAUUCCAUGUGUAGCGGUGAAAUGCGUAGAUAUAUGGAGGAACACCAGUGGCGAAGGCGGCUCUCUGGUCUGUAACUGACGCUGAGGCUCGAAAGCGUGGGGAGCAAACAGGAUUAGAUACCCUGGUAGUCCACGCCGUAAACGAUGAGUGCUAAGUGUUGGAGGGUUUCCGCCCUUCAGUGCUGCAGCUAACGCAUUAAGCACUCCGCCUGGGGAGUACGACCGCAAGGUUGAAACUCAAAGGAAUUGACGGGGGCCCGCACAAGCGGUGGAGCAUGUGGUUUAAUUCGAAGCAACGCGAAGAACCUUACCAGGUCUUGACAUCCUUUGACCACUCUAGAGAUAGAGCUUCCCCUUCGGGGGCAAAGUGACAGGUGGUGCAUGGUUGUCGUCAGCUCGUGUCGUGAGAUGUUGGGUUAAGUCCCGCAACGAGCGCAACCCUUAUUGUUAGUUGCCAUCAUUUAGUUGGGCACUCUAGCAAGACUGCCGGUGACAAACCGGAGGAAGGUGGGGAUGACGUCAAAUCAUCAUGCCCCUUAUGACCUGGGCUACACACGUGCUACAAUGGGAAGUACAACGAGUCGCGAAGUCGCGAGGCUAAGCUAAUCUCUUAAAGCUUCUCUCAGUUCGGAUUGUAGGCUGCAACUCGCCUACAUGAAGCCGGAAUCGCUAGUAAUCGCGGAUCAGCACGCCGCGGUGAAUACGUUCCCGGGCCUUGUACACACCGCCCGUCACACCACGAGAGUUUGUAACACCCGAAGUCGGUGAGGUAACCUUUUGGAGCCAGCCGCCUAAGUG
rnacentral:rRNA from 1 species